ACUCCGACUUCAUGGGGUCGAGUUGCAGACCCCAAUCCGAACUGAGACCGGCUUUUUGGGAUUCGCUCCACCUUACGGUAUCGCAGCCCUCUGUACCGGCCAUUGUAGCAUGCGUGAAGCCCAAGACAUAAGGGGCAUGAUGAUUUGACGUCAUCCCCACCUUCCUCCGAGUUGACCCCGGCAGUCUCCCAUGAGUCCCCGGCAUAACCCGCUGGCAACAUAGGACGAGGGUUGCGCUCGUUGCGGGACUUAACCCAACAUCUCACGACACGAGCUGACGACAACCAUGCACCACCUGUGUACGAGUGUCCAAAGAGAACCCCGUCUCGGGGGCUUUCUCGUACAUGUCAAGCCUUGGUAAGGUUCUUCGCGUUGCAUCGAAUUAAUCCGCAUGCUCCGCCGCUUGUGCGGGCCCCCGUCAAUUCCUUUGAGUUUUAGCCUUGCGGCCGUACUCCCCAGGCGGGGCACUUAAUGCGUUAGCUGCGGCACGGAACUCGUGGAAUGAGCCCCACACCUAGUGCCCAACGUUUACGGCAUGGACUACCAGGGUAUCUAAUCCUGUUCGCUCCCCAUGCUUUCGCUCCUCAGCGUCAGUUGCGGCCCAGAGACCUGCCUUCGCCAUCGGUGUUCCUCCUGAUAUCUGCGCAUUCCACCGCUACACCAGGAAUUCCAGUCUCCCCUACCGCACUCUAGUCUGCCCGUACCCGAUGCAAGCCCGAGGUUGAGCCUCGGGAUUUCACACCAGACGCGACAGACCGCCUACGAGCUCUUUACGCCCAAUAAUUCCGGACAACGCUUGCGCCCUACGUAUUACCGCGGCUGCUGGCACGUAGUUAGCCGGCGCUUCUUCUGCAGGUACCGUCACUUGCGCUUCUUCCCUGCUGAAAGAGGUUUACAACCCGAAGGCCGUCAUCCCUCACGCGGCGUCGCUGCAUCAGGCUUGCGCCCAUUGUGCAAUAUUCCCCACUGCUGCCUCCCGUAGGAGUCUGGGCCGUGUCUCAGUCCCAGUGUGGCCGGUCGCCCUCUCAGGCCGGCUACCCGUCGACGCCUUGGUAGGCCAUCACCCCACCAACAAGCUGAUAGGCCGCGAGCCCAUCCCCCACCGAAAAACUUUCCAACCCACACCAUGCGAUGCGAGCUCAUAUCCGGUAUUAGACCCCGUUUCCAAGGCUUAUCCCGAAGUGGAGGGCAGGUUGCUCACGUGUUACUCACCCGUUCGCCACUGAUCCACCCAGCAAGCUGGGCUUCACCGUUCGA
rnacentral:rRNA from 1 species